rnacentral:rRNA from 1 species
AUUGAACGCUGGCGGCAUGCUUUACACAUGCAAGUCGAGCGGCAGCGCGGGGGCAACCCUGGCGGCGAGCGGCGAACGGGUGAGUAAUGCAUCGGAACGUACCCUGGAGUGGGGGAUAACGCCGCGAAAGCGGCGCUAAUACCGCAUAUGCUCUGAGGAGGAAAGUGGGGGACCGCAAGGCCUCACGCUCUGGGAGCGGCCGAUGUCCGAUUAGCUAGUUGGUGGGGUAAAGGCUUACCAAGGCGACGAUCUGUAGCGGGUCUGAGAGGAUGAUCCGCCACACUGGAACUGAGACACGGUCCAGACUCCUACGGGAGGCAGCAGUGGGGAAUCUUCCGCAAUGGACGCAAGUCUGACGGAGCGACGCCGCGUGGAUGAUGAAGUACUUAGGUAUGUAAAAUCCUUUUGCCCAGGGAGAAAGUUUAUUGAUAGUACCUGGCGAAUAAGAGGUUGCUAAACUCGUGCCAGCAGCCGCGGUAAU